rnacentral:rRNA from 1 species
GACGAACGCUGGCGGCGUGGAUUAGGCAUGCAAGUCGAACGGUAUCAUCCUUUCGGGGGUGAGAGAGUGGCGAACUGGUGAGUAACACGUAGGUUAUCUACCCUCAAGACGGGGACAACCCAGGGAAACUUGGGCUAAUACCGGAUGUGAGCAACUUUUAGUUGUUUGAAAGGUGGCGUAAGCUGUCGCUUGGGGAUGAGCCUGCGUCCUAUUAGUUAGUUGGUGAGGUAACGGCUCACCUAGGCAAUGAUAGGUAGGCGGCCUUAACGGGUGGUCGCCCACACUGGGAUUGAGAUACGGCCCAGACUCCUACGGGAGGCAGCAGUCGAGAAUAGUCUACAAUGGUCGGAAGACUGAUAGUGCGACGCCGCGUGAACGAUGAAUCCCUUCGGGUGUAAAGUUCUUUUAUAUGUGAGCAGUGCUUCUUAUAUUAACAGUAUGGGGAAGAGAUAUUAGCAUAUGAAUAAGCAACGGCUAACUCCGUGCCAGCAGCCGACGGUAAACUGU